rfam:Echinostoma caproni strain Egypt genome assembly, scaffold: ECPE_scaffold0000518
GCACUGCUGAUGAGACCCAGCUAGGUCGAAACAGCUGUCCAGUGC